CAUUAGUGUAUGUUAAAGUUGUUGCAGUUAAAAAGCUCGUAGUUGGAUUUCUGAUUCGCUUGGCCUGGCCCGACGACCUUUGUGUUGUUGUUGGCCGGUAUGGGGUCAUUAUUAUGGAUGGGACUUUUGUUCUGUUCUGUUUUGAUGACUCUUGCUUCGCAAUCAUCCUUCAGAAGAACUGGUCUGCUCUUAAUUGAGUUUUGGGCCAGUAGACUCUGAUCGUUUACUUUGAAAAAUUAGAGUGUUCAAAGCAGGCAUUUGUUGCUGUGAAUAUCUUAGCAUGGAAUAAUAAGAUAGGACUUUGGCCCCGCUGGGUAUUUUCUCGCUUCGCUGUGGGCUUCGGCUUACGUGGAGCGAGAUUACCCGGUUCUAUUUUGUUGGUUCGUAGAGCCAAAGUAAUGAUUGAUAGGGAUAGUUGGGGGUGCUAGUAUUGCCUGGCCAGAGGUGAAAUUCUUGGAUUCAGGCAAGACUAACUUAUGCGAAAGCAUUCACCAAGGAUGUC
rnacentral:rRNA from 1 species